rnacentral:rRNA from 1 species
CUACGGGGGGCAGCAGUGAGGAAUAUUGCACAAUGGGGGGAACCCUGAUGCAGCAACGCCGCGUGGAGGAUGACGCAUUUCGGUGUGUAAACUCCUUUUAUAUGUCAAGAAAAUGACGGUAGCAUAUGAAUAAGCACCCGCUAACUCCGUGCCAGCAGCCGCGGUAAUACGGAGGGUGCAAGCGUUAGACGGAAUUACUGGGCGUAAAGGACGCGUAGGCGGGUUGGAAAGUCAGGUGUGAAAUCCUACAGCUUAACUGUAGAACUGCACUUGAAACUUCUAAUCUAGAGUAUGGGAGGGGGAGAUGGAAUUAGUGGUGUAGGGGUAAAAUCCGUAGAUAUCACUAGGAAUACCUAAAGCGAAGGCGAUCUCCUGGAACAUUACUGACGCUAAGGCGUGAAAGCGUGGGGAGCAAACAGGAUUAGAUACCCGAGUAGUC